UAGAGUUUGAUCCUGGCUCAGAAUCAACGCUGGCGGCGUGCCUCAGACAUGCAAGUCGAACGAUUAAAGCUCUCUUCGGAGAGUGUAUAGAGUGGCGCACGGGUGAGUAACACGUAAGUAAUCUACCUUCGAGUGGGGAAUAACCCGGGGAAACCCGAGCUAAUACCGCAUAAUGCAGCGGCACCUAAUGGUGACAGUUGUUAAAGAUUUAUCGCUUGAAGAGGAGCUUGCGGCAGAUUAGCUAGUUGGUAAGGUAAUGGCUUACCAAGGCUACGAUCUGUAACCGGUCUAAGAGGACGGUCGGUCACACUGACACUGAAUAACGGGUCAGACUCCUACGGGAGGCAGCAGUCGGGAAUUUUGGGCAAUGGGCGAAAGCCUGACCCAGCAACGCCGCGUGAAGGAUGAAGUAUUUCGGUAUGUAAACUUCGAAAGAAUGGGAAGAAUAAAUGACGGUACCAUUUAUAAGGUCCGGCUAACUACGUGCCAGCAGCCGCGGUAAUACGUAGGGACCAAGCGUUGUUCGGAUUUACUGGGCGUAAAGGGCGCGUAGGCGGCCCCACAAGUCACUUGUGAAAUCUCCGGGCUUAACUCGGAACGGCCAAGUGAAACUGUGGAGCUAGAGUGUGGAAGGGGCAAUCGGAAUUCUUGGUGUAGCGGUGAAAUGCGUAGAUAUCAAGAGGAACACCUGAGGUGAAGACGGGUUGCUGGGCCAACACUGACGCUGAGGCGCGAAAGCCAGGGGAGCAAACGGGAUUAGAUACCCCGGUAGUCCUGGCCCUAAACGAUGAAUACUUGGUGUCUGGAGUCAUUAAUGCUCCGGGUGCCGUCGCUAACGUUUUUAGUAUUCCGCCUGGGGAGUACGCUCGCAAGAGUGAAACUCAAAGGAAUUGACGGGGACCCGCACAAGCGGUGGAGCAUGUGGUUUAAUUCGACGCAACGCGAAGAACCUUACCUAGGCUAGAAUGUGAGGGAAGUCUGCGUAACAGCAGGCGUCUGGGAAACCAGACCCAAAACAAGGUGCUGCAUGGCUGUCGUCAGCUCGUGUCGUGAGAUGUUGGGUUAAGUCCCGCAACGAGCGCAACCCUUGUCAUUAGUUGCUACAUUUGGUUGGGCACUCUAAUGAGACUGCCGGUGACAAACCGGAGGAAGGUGGGGAUGACGUCAAGUCCUCAUGGCCCUUAUAGGUGGGGCUACACACGUCAUACAAUGGCUGGUACAAAGGGUUGCCAACCCGCGAGGGGGAGCUAAUCCCAUAAAACCAGUCGUAGUCCGGAUCGCAGUCUGCAACUCGACUGCGUGAAGUCGGAAUCGCUAGUAAUCGUGGAUCAGAAUGUCACGGUGAAUACGUUCCCGGGUCUUGUACACACCGCCCGUCACACCAUGGGAGCGGGUUCUGCCAGAAGUAGUUAGCUUAACCGCAAGGAGGGCGAUUACCACGGCAGGGUUCGUGACUGGGGUGAAGUCGUAACAAGGUAACC
rnacentral:rRNA from 1 species